rnacentral:rRNA from 1 species
AACGUACGCUGGCGGCACGCCUAACACAUGCAAGUCGAACGAAGUAGCAAUACUUAGUGGCAGACGGGUGAGUAACAUGUAGGUAUCUGCCCUUUGGCCUGGAAUAACACGAGGAAACUUGUGCCAAUACCGGAUAAGUCUUUACGGAGAAAGCUUUAUGCACCAUUGGAUGAGCCUGCACUUGAUUAGUUUGUUGGUGGGGUAAUGGCCUACCAAGACUGUGAUCAAUAGCUGAUUUGAGAGGAUGAUCAGCCACAUUGGGACUGAGACACGGCCCAAACUCCUACGGGAGGCAGCAGUGGGGAAUCUUGCACAAUGGAGGAAACUCUGAUGCAGCGAUGCCGCGUGAGUGAAGAAGGCCCUUGGGUUGUAAAGCUCUUUCGUCGGGGAAGAAAAUGACUGUACCCGAAUAAGAAGGUCCGGCUAACUUCGUGCCAGCAGCCGCGGUAAUACGAAGGGACCUAGCGUAGUUCGGAAUUACUGGGCUUAAAGAGUUCGUAGGUGGUUGAAAAAGUUAGUGGUGAAAUCCCAGAGCUUAACUCUGGAACUGCCAUUAAAACUUUUCAGCUAGAGUAUGAUAGAGGAAAGCAGAAUUUCUAGUGUAGAGGUGAAAUUCGUAGAUAUUAGAAAGAAUACCAAUUGCGAAGGCAGCUUUCUGGAUCAUUACUGACACUGAGGAACGAAAGCAUGGGUAGCGAAGAGGAUUAGAUACCCUCGUAGUCCAUGCCGUAAACGAUGUGUGUUAGACGUUGGAAAUUUAUUUUCAGUGUCGCAGGGAAACCGAUAAACACACCGCCUGGGGAGUACGACCGCAAGGUUAAAACUCAAAUGAAUUGACGGGGACCCGCACAAGUAGUGGAGCAUGUGGUUUAAUUCGAAGAUACGCGCAGAACCUUACCAACACUUGACAUGUUCGUCGCGACUUUAAGAGAUUAAAGUUUUCGGUUCGGCCGGACGAAACACAGGUGCUGCAUGGCUGUCGUCAGCUCGUGUCGUGAGAUGUUGGGUUAAGUCCCGCAACGAGCGCAACCCUCACUUUUAGUUGCCAUCAUUAAGUUGGGCACUCUGAAAGAACUGCCAGUGAUAAGCUGGAGGAAGGUGGGGAUGACGUCAAGUCCUCAUGGCCCUUACGUGUUGGGCUACACACGUGCUACAAUGGUAUCUACAACAGGAAGCAAGACUGCGAAGUUAAGCAAAUCCCUAAAAGAUACCUCAGUUCGGAUUGCACUCUGCAACUCGAGUGCAUGAAGCUGGAAUUACUAGUAAUCGUGGAAUCAGCGUGCCACGGUGAAAUGCGUUCCCGGGUCU